AAAUGAAUCUAGAGUGGAAAAAUGUUAGGUCGUUUAAACUGGCAGUAAUCCCUAAACCACAUCGCUUGUAGACCACCACCGCAGUACGCAUGUGGCUCGUCCUCUCCACCAGAGUCGCCUCUUGCCAAUUCUAGAGCCAAGGAGACCUCUGCGCGACCAAAAUCAAGCUCUCUAUUCGCUUCCGUAGAGAACCGCCUCCUCUGGAUUUUCAAGCCGUAAAGCGAGCUGCGGAUUUUGUAGACGAAGCAUUAGGGCUUGCUUGUUACUAGCAUGGAAGUUGCAGAGAUUGAUGGCCUUCCAAGAAUGGUAACCUUCACUUCCCUCUGAUGGUGACGUUGGUUAAAAUGAAUGCUUUGACAGUGAUUAGGACUACUGAAUUGGCGUGCAUUGGUGAUGCAAGGACCUACAUUUGGAGCCAUGAUGAUAUCAGGG
rnacentral:misc_RNA from 1 species